AUUCAAAUCUGAUGAGUCAUAUUAUUAUCACGCAGAGGGAUCUUGAAUAUUUACGUUUUCGCCGAAAAAAAAGUUUAUUUUUUGCAUUUUAUCUGCCAAGAUUCGAUUUUUGAUUGAUUAGUUCAGCCCCUGCUGCUCCCAGUGACUGCUGCAUGUUUUAAAGUUUCAGCCUUGUCUGAAGAAU
rnacentral:snoRNA from 1 species